GAUGAACGCUGGCGGCGUGCUUAACACAUGCAAGUCGAACGAAGCACCUUAUUCUGAUUUCUUCGGAAUGAAAAAUUCGGUGACUGAGUGGCGGACGGGUGAGUAACGCGUGGGUAACCUGCCUCAUACAGGGGGAUAACAGUUAGAAAUGACUGCUAAUACCGCAUAAGACCACAGCACCGCAUGGUGCAGGGGUAAAAACUCCGGUGGUAUGAGAUGGACCCGCGUCUGAUUAGGUAGUUGGUGGGGUAACGGCCUACCAAGCCGACGAUCAGUAGCCGACCUGAGAGGGUGACCGGCCACAUUGGGACUGAGACACGGCCCAAACUCCUACGGGAGGCAGCAGUGGGGAAUAUUGCACAAUGGGGGAAACCCUGGUGCAGCGACGCCGCGUGAGCGAUGAAGUAUUUCGGUAUGUAAAGCUCUAUCAGCAGGGAAGAAAAUGACGGUACCUGACUAAGAAGCACCGGCUAAAUACGUGCCAGCAGCCGCGGUAAUACGUAUGGUGCAAGCGUUAUCCGGAUUUACUGGGUGUAAAGGGAGCGUAGACGGAGUGGCAAGUCUGAUGUGAAAACCCGGGGCUCAACCCCGGGACUGCAUUGGAAACUGUCAAUCUAGAGUACCGGAGAGGUAAGCGGAAUUCCUAGUGUAGCGGUGAAAUGCGUAGAUAUUAGGAGGAACACCAGUGGCGAAGGCGGCUUACUGGACGGUAACUGACGUUGAGGCUCGAAAGCGUGGGGAGCAAACAGGAUUAGAUACCCUGGUAGUCCACGCCGUAAACGAUGA
rnacentral:rRNA from 1 species